rnacentral:rRNA from 1 species
UACGGAGGGUGCAAGCGUUAUCCGGAUUCACUGGGUUUAAAGGGUGCGUAGGUGGGCAGGUAAGUCAGAGGUGAAAUCUCCGGGCUUAACCCGGAAACUGCCAUUGAUACUAUCUGUCUUGAAUACCGUGGAGGUGAGCGGAAUAUGUCAUGUAGCGGUGAAAUGCUUAGAUAUGACAUAGAACACCAAUUGCGAAGGCAGCUGGCUACACGAAUAUUGACACUGAUGCACGAAAGCGUGGGGAUCAAACAGG